GAGGGUCUUCAGGCCUCCUACUGUUCUUUACCAAACCCGCGUACCUAUUGCCGGAUACUCUGUCUCUGCCUCGGCGGCGGCCCCAGGGGGGGCCUCUGCCCGUCUCGCCGGUUAACCCCGGCGGGCGGGUGCCGCCGGCGGCAUCCUAACCAUCAAACGUUAGAACUUUUUAUAUCAAACAAAACCUAUUA
rnacentral:misc_RNA from 1 species